rnacentral:rRNA from 1 species
AUUGAACGCUGGCGGCAGGCCUAACACAUGCAAGUCGAGCGAGCGGCGGACGGGUGAGUAAUGUCUGGGAAACUGCCUGAUGGAGGGGGAUAACUACUGGAAACGGUAGCUAAUACCGCAUACCAUCAGAUGUGCCCAGAUGGGAUGAGCUAGUAGGUGGGGUAACGGCUCACCUAGGCGACGAUCCCCAGCUGGUCUGAGAGGAUGACCAGCAAAACUGGAACGGAGACACGGUCCAGACUCGUACGGAGGGCAGCAGUGGGAAUUAUUGCACAAUGGGCGAAAGCCUGAUGCAGCCAUGCCGGUGGUAUGAAGAAGGCCUUCGGGUUGUAAAGUACUUUCAGCGGGGAGGCGUUACCCGCAGAGGAAGCACCGGCUAACUCCGUGCCAGCAGCCGCGGUAAUAC